rnacentral:tRNA from 1 species
GGGGGUAUAGCUCAGUUGGUAGAGUGCCUGUUUUGCAUGCACAAGGCCCUGGGUUCAAUCCCCAGCACCACAC